GACGAACGCUGGCGGCGUGCUUAACACAUGCAAGUCGAACGGGAGGAAAAGAGAAGCUUGCUUCUUUUUGAAUCUAGUGCAAACGGGUGAGUAACACGUAAACAACCUGCCUUCAGGAUGGGGACAACAGACGGAAACGACUGCUAAUACCGAAUGUGUUCCGGAGACCGCAUGAUUUCCGGAAGAAAGGAUGGCCUCUAUUUAUAAGCUAUCGCCUGAAGAGGGGUUUGCGUCUGAUUAGGGCAGUUGGUGAGGUACGGCCCACCAAACCUACGAUCAGUAGCCGGUCUGAGAGGAUGAACCGGCCACACUGGAACUGAGACACGGUCCAGACUCCUACGGGAGGCAGCAGUGGGAAUCUUCCGCAAUGGACGAAAGUCUGACGGAGCAACGCCGCGUGAGUGAUGACGGCCU
rnacentral:rRNA from 1 species